AUUGAACGCUGGCGGCAGGCCUAACACAUGCAAGUCGAGUGGAUUGUCGGACGGGUGAGUAAUGUAUGGGUAUCUGCCCGAUAGCGGGGUAUAACUACUGGAAACGGUGGCUAAUACCGCAUACUAUCGGAUGAACCCAUAUGGGAUUAGCUAGUAGGUGGGGUAAAGUCUCACCGAGGCGACGAUCUCUAGCUGGUCUGAGAGGAUUAACUGCCACACUGGGAAUGGGACACGACGCAGAUUCCUACGGGAGGCAGCAGUGGGGAAUAUUGGACAAUGGGCGAAAGCCUGAUCCAGCCAUGCCGCGUGUGUGAAGAAGGUCUUCGGAUUGUAAAGCACUUUAAGUUGGGAGGCGUUACCAACAGAAUAAGCACCGGCUAACUUCGUGCCAGCAGCCGCGGUAAUUC
rnacentral:rRNA from 1 species